AGUUGAAUUGAAGUGAACUUGGGUUGAUGUGAUCUUCGGAUGACAUGAAUCAAAGUUGACUCUUUCCAAAGUCAAUACAUUGGUAUUCAUUUAUCUUUGUAUUGUGUUUGGUCAUUUACUGUGAGAAAAUUAGAGUGUUCAAAGCAGACGUUUGUUUGAAUACAUUAGCAUGGAAUAAUCAUAUAUGGCUUUCAUGUUGAUUUGAUUGGUUUGAAUAUGGAAGCAAGAUUAAAAGGGACAGUUGGGGGUAUUCAUAUUCAAUAGUCAGAGGUGAAAUUCUGGGAUUUAUGGAAGAUGAACAAGUGCGAAA
rnacentral:rRNA from 1 species